GCCAGGAGAAGCCGUGCAGCCCUUUUAAAGUGUGCGCGGCUUCUGCCGGUUUUGCGGGACGUGGGGGAAUUCCCCCACUUCCCAAGAAAGCCAGGAGAAGCCGCGAUCUCUUUAAAGGGGUUGCGCGGCUUCUGCGGGCUUUUGGGAGAGGUGAGGGAAUCCCCCCACCUCCCAGUAAAGCCAGGAAAGCCCUGCGCAGCGUCUCCUGGCAAGGAGAGGUUGCGCGGGGCUAAAGAGGAAGCCAAAACAGCGAGCGGGAUCCAUCCUGCUCGCUGCCUUGGCUUGUGCCAUAGCUGUGCGCAACCCCUCCGGCAAGGAGAGGCUGCACGGGGCUAUGGAUUCUUUAGCCCUGCGCAGCGUCUCCUGGCAAGGAGAGGUUGCGCAGGGCUAAAGAGGAAGCCAAAACAGCGAGCGGGAUCCAUCCUGCUCGCUGCCUUGGCUUGUGCCAUAGCCCCGCUCAACCCCUCCGGCAGGGAGAGGUUGUGCACAGCCUGUACGCUGCUCUUUGGGGCUGGGGGGGGAAUUUUGUUUUUGAUUUCCCCCCCUAAAAACUGGGUGCGCCCUAUGGUCCGGUGCGCCCUAUGGUGCGAAAAAUACGGUA